GAAUUUAUUCUAGCAAUUUCUUUUUAGAAUGGUAUAUUCAAAGCGAAAUCAAAUUUGAAGAGUACAUUGGCUAACUUCCGAGUGCCGAAUAAUCGACCAUCCAAACUGGUCGUAAGGAUAAGCGUUAAUUGAUAAUGUUAUAUAUUGUACACAUCAUGCAAUGAAACAGCAGUUCUGUUAGGUGUCUCAUAACUUUGUUCGUUUUUGUACGAGGAUUUCAGUGCUCACUACAGAGAUACAAGGAAAUUUUGGAUCUACGUCGUUGAAUCCCAGUUCCGAUCGUAAGGCCUGGAUUACGCAAUAGACGAGUGCUACCAGAAACAGAGCGACUGCGAAGCGCCGAGGGUAGAACAAAGCAACUCUCAUUUUGCAGCUAUCUACCUACACGCAUUAAAUCUACGGGGAUGGAAACUGGGAGAAACUUAUCGCCGAUGAUUGGACCGCUCGGAAACCUUCAGUGCGCCGUCGUCGUGAUCGUCGGCUCGUUUGACGACGUCAACUCAGGCCAAGAGGUGAGAAUUACGAAGAAUAAGGUGGAGCAGGGUGAGAAACUUGAAAGUUGGCGAAAUGGCACUGGGUUGAACAUCAUCGCACAUUUUCAACAUCUGGAAAUUCUCUUAGUACAGAUGUUUUUCAGACUGAAUUAUCAGUCUUCGCCAGUGCUUCCCCAAGCGUUCUACAGAGACAGGGCGGAGUAUCAACCCUUCGAAGUACCGAGGACCGAUCGAUGAAACCCCGAAUGCUGUUUAUGCGGUUGGUAGAAACCAGUUAGAUUCGAUGCUCGAGUUUGUACAGCCUUGUUGUUUUCCCGCCGACGCAUGUGACCGAUUGAAAAAGGGGAUAGUUUUUAACUGAGAAUACCACCUUUUUUUUAUUCAUCCAUCAUGUUCUUAUUUUUAAUACUUAUUUUUCUACGAGUCCCUGCAAUAACCUGGGGAUAAAUUUUUGGACGCCAAAUAAAAUUCUGGUCGUCAGAAAACCGUAUGCAAGUUUCUUUGCAGAUUGAGUUAAUUGUCACGAAAAACACGAUUAGUGCCUGUUACGUAUUGGCUGCAGGUACAAUUAUCAGUCGACAAAAAAGUACUGCAACGAAUUGAAACAAGCCACCGGUUGUGGCUUACUGCAAGAAAUUCAAAAGUACGUGCUCCGAUACAGGUCAAUACUCAAUUGAAUAUUCGCCGGUAAUUAUCGUCUGGAACUUCGUCGAACGACUGCUGCGUGAAGGAUAUUACGUGACCUAGAGACGAAUUAUUUAACAGAUAUUUCAAGCAAAUGCCAUUCUCGUUUCUUUCUCAUUCGGACAUACCGAUCGAUGUUCGUCAUACAGGUAUAGGUACGAUCAUUUCGGGGGUAACCCGAUUAAUAAAUCUUCGACAGUACGAAUAAGUUCACCGGCAGGGUAGAAGCAGUGUCGGAAAAGUAAAGAAAUUUCUUUGGAUCUUAAGAAAUUAGAGCCCGAUGAAAGAAAAAGCAAAAAUGGUUUUCUUAUAUUGAGAAAUAUUGUCGUUUAGGCCAAAAUCUGAAGAUAAUCUGAAGAUCUCAAACUGAUAGGAAAGUCUCUAAAAAUGGUCUCUGAAAUCGAAGUAACAGACAAAACAUAAAACAAUUGCGAGGUUCCUGAGAAAAUAUACAUCAAGUAGAUGGCGUCUGCAAUUUUCAAACACCCUUAUUUGACAAGAUGGUGAAUCUGAAUAUUAAAAAUAAAAACAUAUUAUAUAAGUAAAAAUUCUUAACAGCUUUAUACAUAUAAUUCAGAUUGUAGGAUGUAGAUCUGUGUUACCUCGUUUGGUAAUCAUCAUUAUAUAUUUCGAGGAAAAUUGUCCAUGUUAUAAAGCUAAAAACUGAAAUAUAUUAUGUAUUCCUGUAUUUAUUGAGUUCCGAUACCGUAAAGCAUCACUCGCGAAAAUGAUAAAUAUGAAGAAUUAUUAUGGCGCCAUUAAUACAUCUGAAGAAUUAUUGUACUGCCAUCUAAACAAGAAAUCGAAAGACUCGUUUUGGCGCCAUUUAAACGAAUAUCUAUCCGAUAGGUUGGCAACGCUGGGUAGAAGUCCUUACAAGGCAAGGAUGUUCAACUUAGUAUCCUUGCUUACAAGGCUGAUUGUAAACGGGAAUUAUUCUAGUAGAGUGGACUCGAUUGUUCCUAUUGCGCGCCAACUUCGCGCCAGUGGAUGACUAGGGUAGUGGCUGCACGCGUUGAUUCUUACCAACUCAGAGCCACCGGUGUCCGACAUGCUUUGUAGUACAAAUAAAUGCCAGCGGAUGACACCAGUAACCGCGAAUCGGUCAGAAUCCAUUUUCAUUGCAUUUGUUACACGCACUGAACUCUAGGUUAUACAGAGUUCAGUGGUCGUUACAAAACUGAGACUGCCAAGCCGUGCUGCCAAGCAACACGUGAGCGACGCCAUACCGUUGGCAGCACUGGGCGAACGCAGAAUGACUCAGCCCGAUCAGCUGCUCGCGGAGGCUAGAACUCGGUAGAAUUACGGUAUUACCUCAUCCCAGCAGAGCGGCAGGUUUUUAUGAAUUUCCACGAUGAUGAAUAGCAUCAUUCACUGUUGUCUCAUGUUAAUUUAAAAACUCGCAAACCACUUUACAAUAUUAUUGAACCGUUUUUUUACACGUUAGGAUCGAAUUAGUCAUGGUAAGCGCGCCUCAAUUCACGGACGUGCUGAUCACACACCGGAGGACGCUCAGCCGGCAUGUGAAGACUGAUCUCGUGAGAAAAACUACUAAAGUUGCUGCGCGAUCCCGAGUUCCGAGCUCUUCCCUCUCUACCUGAUUCUCAGCUAUGUACACAAGGAACGGAGAGAUGGAACGAAGCUCCUUGAAACUUUGAGUGUAUUUUAACACGCAUUUGAAAGGUGCAGGCAAAACUUUUUAUCAUCCAACUGUCGCAAAACGGCAGCAUUAUUAGCUGACACGUUGACUGAAGGAUAUAUCUUCAUUCAACGGCUGACCAUCGAAGGGACUGGUCGCGUGAGUCUGGAAUCGGCAGGAAAGAUAAAAAUUCGAGGCGAUUACCGGUGGUCGUUGGAGGUGGUUGGUCGUGGUUGGAGGUGGUUAGGAGUGGUUGCGGGUGAAUGAGGUGGACGAGGAGGAGGACUAGGAGGAGGAGGACGAGGAUUCGUGCACAUAUUCGAGGUAUGACCCGAGGGGGUCAGCAGUGGUUAUUGGAGGUGGUCGGAGAUGGUUGCGGGUGAUCCAGGUGGACGACAAGGAGGACGACAACUUAUGCACUUUCUGUGCCCCACCUAGUGAUCCACUAGUACAUAUCCUCCGACGUGACAUCGCUCCGC